rnacentral:rRNA from 1 species
ACUGUGCAAAGGUAGCAUAUUUAUUAGUUUUUUAAUUGAAAGCUUGUAUGAAGGNUUGGACGAGAUGAAAUCUGUCUUUAUUUAAAUUAAAAUAUAAUUUAACUUUUAAGUAAAAAGGCUUAAAUGUUUAUAAAAGACGAGAAGACCCUAUAGAUCUUUAUUUAAUUAAAGUUUUAAUAAUUUAGGAUUAUUUUAAUUUAAAGUUUUAAUUAAAUUUUAUUGGGGUAAUAUAAAGAUUAAAUAAAUUCUUUUUGUUUAUAACAUUGAUUUAUGAAUAAAUGAUCCAUUAAUAUUGAUUAUAAGAUUAAGUUACCUUAGGGAUAACAGCGUAAUUUUUUUGGAGAGCUCAUAUCGAUAAAAAAGUUUGCGACCUCGAUGUUGGAUUAAAAAUUAGCUUGGGUGCAGAAGCUCAAGAUUUUGGUCUGUUCGACCAUUAAAUUUUUACAUGAUCUGAGUUCAGACCGGCGUGAGCCAGGUCGGUUUCUAUCUUUAUUAAGAUAAAAUGUUUUAGUACGAAAGGACCAAAUAUUUAAUAUAAUUAUAUUUAUUUUUUGAAGAAUAUU